AUCCCUGUGGCUCAGUUGGUAGAGCAUGGUGUUUGCAAUGCCAGCAUGGUGUGUGCAACGCCAGGGUUGUGGGUUCGAUUCCCACAGGGGGCC
rnacentral:tRNA from 1 species